AAGAACUGCCUUACUUGAAGAAUGUUGUUCAGAAGGGGAGACACGCAAUAAAUAUAAGAUGAAGUUAGGAGAGAAGCUAUUCAUAGCUAAAACUCUAGCUAAAAUGGCUAUUAUUUAUUGCACGGAACUGAAAUCGGAUGAAGUUGAGAAACCCAACAUACAAACCCAGAAGCCAAGAUACUACACAAGCGGACAUAUUUCAAGGACAAAUCCAAAGACACUUGCCAACAGCAAAAAAGUAUCAGCUUACAGUGUUCGAGGAGCUUGAAAAGGAACCAAAACCAGAUGGAAGAUCACAAAAUGCACAGCAGCCUGGGGUCUUUAAGACAAGAC